rnacentral:rRNA from 1 species
GGGUAACGCUGGCGGCGUGCCUAAAACAUGCAAGUCGAACGCGUCCUUCGGGUACGAGUGGCAGACGGCUGAGUAACGCGUGGGUGACAUACCCAUUGGUGGGGAAUAACUGCCCGAAAGGGUGGCUAAUUCCGCAUACGUCCUCCUUUUCGUUGAGGAGGGGAAAGCAGCAAUGCGCCGAUGGACUGGCCCGCGUUCGAUUAGCUCGUUGGUGGGGUAACGGCCUACCAAGGCGACGAUCGAUAGCUGGUCUCAGAGGAUGAUCAGCCAGACUGGGACUGAGACACGGCCCAGACUCCUACGGGAGGCAGCAGUUAGGAAUUUUGGGCAAUGGGCGAAAGCCUGACCCAGCAACGCCGCGUGGGCGAUGAAGGCCUUCGGGUUGUAAAGCCCUUUUGCAGGGGAAGAUGAUGACGGUACCCUGCGAAUAAGCCACGGCUAACUACGUGCCAGCAGCCGCGGUAAUACGUAGGUGGCGAGCGUUGUCCGGAUUUACUGGGCGUAAAGGGCGUGCAGGCGGCCUGCUAAGUCUAGGGUGAAAGCUCCCGGCUCAACUGGGAGAGGUCCUUGGAUACUGGCGGGCUUGAGGGAGGUAGAGGAGAAUGGAAUUCCCGGUGUAGUGGUGAUAUGCGUAGAUAUCGGGAGGAACACCUGUGGCGAAGGCGGUUCUCUGGGCCUUACCUGACGCUGAGACGCGAAAGCGUGGGGAGCGAACCGGAUUAGAUACCCGGGUAGUCCACGCCGUAAACUAUGGACACUAGGUGUGGGGGGUAUCGACCCCUUCCGUGCCGAAGCUAACGCAAUAAGUGUCCCGCCUGGGGAGUACGGCCGCAAGGCUAAAACUCAAAGGAAUUGACGGGGGCCCGCACAAGCAGCGGAGCGUGCGGUUUAAUUCGUCGCAACGCGAAGAACCUUACCAAGGCUUGACAUGCUAGUGGUACUGAUCCGAAAGGUGAGGGACCCUUCGGGGAGCUAGCACAGGUGCUGCAUGGCUGUUGUCAGCUCGUGCCGUGAGGUGUUGGGUUAAGUCCCGCAACGAGCGCAACCCCUGUUGCCAGUUGUAUUCUCUGGCGAGACUGCCCCGUAAAGCGGGGAGGAAGGCGGGGAUGACUUCAAGUCAGCACGGCCCUUACGUCUUGGGCCACUCGCACGCUACAAUGGCCGGUCCAAUAGGUUGCCAAGGAGCGAUCCGGAGCUAAUCCCUAAAGCCGGCCUCAGUUCAGAUUGCAGGCUGAAACCCGCCUGCAUGAAGGCGGAGUUGC